ACCCCUUUUCAAUGGGCUGGGCUUGUGUCAACCAAUACCCCAAAAUGCAUAAUUUUGAUGGGCCUCAUCAUUUAAACGCAUUAACCCACCUAAGAAAAAGUAUUAAAGCCAUGGUUGCCCCACCUUUGUUUAUAAUGUUGUUCAAAAGAUGUGCGCGGAAGUGCAAAGUUUUGCCAAAAACAAAUUUAUAGAUUUUAAUGUGUCAUAAAGGAUUUUCAUGUAGAUACAUUUAAUUUUAAAAACAAAAACAACUAAAACUGGAAAUCUUACAUUGUAUCCUUUGAUCAGUGAUGAAAGCUGACGCCCAUCAUCCAUCGUACUGAAUUAUCCAUACAAUAAAGAUGAAGGAAAGAGCUUCUUCAUGCUCAGCUAUAGGGCUGGGGACAUGGUCAUGUGAGAGCCAAGGGUGGACCACACAUGUAUGCAUGCGUGAUGAUGGGAGAGGGAAAGAGAAAGAGGAACCUCCUAUUUUCUCUGCUCCCUUCUGUUUCUCUCUCGUAUUUGUCUCCAAACAUUGAAGGUCUUUUCUCUAUCCAAUUCCAGUGGGACAUGAUGUAUUCAUAAGGAGUUGGUGAUCAGAGGCUUUAAGUUCCUCCAUAGGUGGAGGAAAUCACAUGGGACUUCUCAAUAAUUAGUUAAUUUGGAUUUUGUUGCCAUUCAAUUAGUGGCUAACAUAAUAGAUGGUUUAAAUCUUAACCAACAAAGUUCCUUUUCUUUUCGUGUUUUUUUUUUUUUUUUUCUCACAAACAAAGUUCUAUUCAUAGAUUUAGAGUAUCCAUCUUGUGGGCUCAACAGUUGUUAACCAAGAUGGAAGCUGG